rnacentral:rRNA from 1 species
CUUACGGGUGGCAGCAGUGGGGAAUAUUGCACAAUGGGGGAAACUUUGAUGCAGCGACGCCGCGAGAGCGAAGAUGUAUGUCGGUAAGUAAAUUUCUAUCAUCAGGGAAGAUAAUGACGGUACCUGACGAAGAAGCCUCGGCUAACUACGUGCCAGCAGCCGCGGUAAUACGUAGGGUGCAAGCGUUAUCCGGAUUUACUGGGUGUAAAGGGAGCGUAGGCGGUUUGGCAAGUCAGAAGUGAAAUCCCGGGGCUCAACCCUGGAAUUGCAUUUGAAACUGUCUGUCUUGAGUGCAGGAGAGGUAGGCGGAAUUCCUGGUGUAGCGGUGAAAUGCGUAGAUAUCAGGAGGAACACCAGUGGCGAAGGCGGCUUAUCUGACCUGCUAACUGACGCUGAGCUC